rnacentral:rRNA from 1 species
UACGUAGGGCGCAAGCGUUAUCCGGAAUUAUUGGGCGUAAAGAGCUCGUAGGCGGUUUGUCGCGUCUGCCGUGAAAGUCCGGGGCUCAACUCCGGAUCUGCGGUGGGUACGGGCAGACUAGAGUGAUGUAGGGGAGACUGGAAUUCCUGGUGUAGCGGUGAAAUGCGCAGAUAUCAGGAGGAACACCGAUGGCGAAGGCGGGUCUCUGGGCCGAUAUUGACGCUGAGGAGCGAAAGCGUGGGGAGCAAACAGG